rnacentral:antisense_RNA from 1 species
GUUAUUUCAAUAUGUUUAGGCUUAAAUU